rnacentral:rRNA from 1 species
GUUUGAUGCUGGUCAUAACUGUUUCCUGACGGCGUGCUUAACACAUGCAAGUCGAACGAGAAAGUUUCCUUCGGGAAGCGAGUAAAGUGGCGCACGGGUGAGUAACGCGUAGAUAACCUGUCCAGAUGUCCGGGAUAGCCCAUCGAAAGGCGGAUUAAUACCGGGUAUCUUGUUUUAACCUAAGUUGAACCAAGAAAGGUGGCCUCUAUUUAUAAGCUAUCGCAUUUGGAGGGGUCUGCGUACCAUUAGUUUGUUGGUGGGGUAACGGCCUACCAAGACUACGAUGGUUAGCGGGUCUGAGAGGAUGAUCCGUCACACUGGCACUGAAACACGGGCCAGACUCCUACGGGAGGCAGCAGUGAGGAAUAUUGCGCAAUGGGGGAAACCCUGACGCAGCGACGCCGCGUGAGUGAGGAAGGCCUUCGGGUCGUAAAGCUCUGUCAGAAGGGAAGAAAUGGUUAUAGGUUAAUACCCUGUAUUCUUGACGGUACCUUCAAAGGAAGCACCGGCUAACUCCGUGCCAGCAGCCGCGGUAAUACGGAGGGUGCAAACGUUGUUCGGAAUCACUGGGCGUAAAGGGCACGCAGGCGGUUUUGCAAGCCAGAUGUGAAAGCCCAGGGCUUAA